CGCGUAGGCGGACCUUCAAGUCGGAUGUGAAAACUAUAGGCUUAACUUAUAGCCUGCAUCCGAUACUGUUGGUCUUGAGUUUAUCAGAGGAAAGCAGAAUUCCAGGUGUAGCGGUGGAAUGCGUAGAUAUCUGGAAGAAUACCAGUAGCGAAGGCGGCUUUCUGGGGUACAACUGACGCUGAAGCGCGAAGGCUAGGGGAGCAAACA
rnacentral:rRNA from 1 species